rnacentral:rRNA from 1 species
AUUGAACGCUGGCGGCAGGCCUAACACAUGCAAGUCGAACGAGUGGCGGACGGGUGAGUAAUGUCUGGGAAACUGCCCGAUGGAGGGGGAUAACUACUGGAAACGGUAGCUAAUACCGCAUACCAUCGGAUGUGCACAGAUGGGAUUAGCUUGUAGGUGAGGUAACGCCUCACCUAGGCGACGAUCCCUAGCUGGUCGGAGAGGAUGACUAGGAACACUGGAACGGAGACACGGUCGAGACGCGCACGGGAGGCAGCAGGGGGGAAUAUGGCACAAGGGGAGCAAGCCUGAUGCAGCCAAGGCGCGUGUAUGAAGAAGGCCUUCUGGGUGUAAAGUACUUUCAGCGGGGAGGCGUUACCCGCAGAAGAAGCACCGGCUAACUCCGUGCCCGCAGCCGCGGUAAUUC